AGAGUAUGAAGUGAGAGCACACCAGAUGUUCUUUAGAAUUUAGCUUCCUUAAGGGUCCUUUUGUUACCUCUUUAUGUAAAAAUAGAGUUCUAUGUUGUUGCGUCGGAAUUUGGUAGGUCGUCGGUCCUAAUUUUCUCAACUGCUAGGCCUUAAUAUGAUAGACUAUCAGGAUUGGAGAUCAACCCACUAAUCUAUGCACAAAGUUGUUAGUCAUGGGUGUCAGUCAUGGAUUGUGCCCAUGUUUCAUUGAGAUAUUCUAAGGAUCUCCUACAUAUAUGAAUAGUCCUAUGUCCCA
rnacentral:lncRNA from 1 species